CUGGUUGAUUCUGCCAGUAGCAUAUGCUUUCCUCCUGGAGAUUAAGCCAUGCAAGUCUAAGUAUAAGUCAUAUACGGCGAAACUGCGAACGGCUCAUUAAAACAGUUAUAAUUUAUUUGAUAAUGUUCUUAUAUGGAUAACCAUUUUGGGAAACUACGGCUAAUACAUGCUUAAAGACCUUCGGGUUGUAUUUAUUAGUUUUGGCCGAUCUUAGAUCGUGAUGAGUCAUAAUAACUGAUCGAAGCGCAUUUGUAUGUGCUAAAUCUUUCAAGUAUCUGCCCUAUCAGAUUGUUGGUAGUGUAUUGGACUACCAAGUCGAUCACGGGUAACGGAGAAUUAGGGUUCGAUUCCGGAGAGGGAGCCUGAGAAACGGCUACCACAGCUACGGUAGGCAGCAGGUGCGUAAAUUACCCAAUCCAAAAUCUGGAAGGUAGUUACAGGAAAUUUGUUGCAUGGGGUUCUACCCCAGACACAAACGAACACAUGUAAGUAUUGUGUGUUUAAUUGGAGGGCAAGUUUUGGUGCCAGCAGCCGCGGUAAU
rnacentral:rRNA from 1 species